GUUAAAUCUGACUUUUUGCUGUCAACCAUGGAGCACGCUCUUUGUCAAGCUGAAAGGCCCUUGUUUGCUGCGCAAGUGCUGAAGACUUCUUUGCCUCGGUCAAACUGGAGAGGUCACAGGAGGUUCAGCAAUACAGGAGCCGCAGAUUGACCAGCUUUGCUGCUUCAGGAGACCAUGCUGUGUGGUGUGGAUGUGCUUGUCCAUAAUCACAGCUUUCCCUUGUAACAGUACAUCCCAGUGCCACUGCUUCCGUGCUGGAUGGUGAAACAAAUUUAUCAUGGAGGAGAUGCUGGUGCUGGGGUCAGCCAGAAAGCACCGCAUUCACCUGUUGGAGCACUCCUUUGACUGCCACAUUAUUCGGAUGAGUCAACAAAAUGCCAUCGUGUUUAUAAACAUGCAAGAGUCAUUUCCCUACAUCAUGGUGAGCUCGAGAUACAGCCGGCCUCUGCCAGCAGCUGUAUGCCCAGGAGUGCCCUUCAUCUGUGGUUGCUUUUUGGUGGCUAGAGAGCUUCCUCUGUGCUGUCCUUUCCAUGGUUUUGCUGUUGGUAUGUUCAGGCUUGGUGAAGGCCAGCUUGGGGCUGUCACAGCCACGUCGCAGAGCCCUGCCACCCCCAGAGGGUGGAGACCCCCCCACCUCCCAGUGACUUGUCCCAGUGCUGCAGUGUCCCUGGGGCCCUGAACCUCCCAACCCCCAAAUCCUGACACCAUCUCUUGUUCUACCACAUGGGACUGCCACAGGCAGCCUGGUCAGCCCAGCUCUGCCACAUCCCCAUCUCUUUUUUCCACCUCUUGGUUUAUGUGGGCAGCCUGGAUCUCAGGCCGUAUUGCUGUUGUGCCCCCCUGCAGGGUGUAACGGCCUCCCCCGGUGCCUUCCAGAAUCUCUUUCCCAACUGGCACCUUCAAAACCAAGGCCAGAGCCAAGCCAAGCCUAGGGCCCAGAUGCUGGUCGGUGGCUUGGAGCCUCCUCCAUGUCAGCGUCCGUGAUGGAGCCUCGUGCCCUGGCGGGCAGCCCUGCGGGGCAGCAGAGUGGAGGCCACGAGCCUGGACGCAUCCUGGCUGAGCUGUCAGCAGCCCUGGAGAACCCGGACAUCAAAGCCUUGGAGUGGGCUGAGGACGGGAGAGGUGUCGUCAUCCACGCCACGCUGUACGAAGAGGAGAUGGGGAGGUACAAGGAGCUCUUCCCAGCACUGACGGACCUUGGCUCUGUCCUGGUACUGCAGGCCUGGCUGCUGGCCUAUGGUUUCAGACUCGAGGAGGCAAAGACCGACCCGCAUGCCCUUGUGCUGCAGCAUGCUGAUUUCCAGAGGAUGCAUCCCGCUGCCGUGGAGCCGGGUGCCCCCGGAGGUAAUGCUGGCCCCUCUGCCAAGCAGCAGAAGAAAAGCAAGAAAAGGAGAAGCAGGAGCAGCCUGCAGCCAUGCAGAAAGGUCACAUCCCGGGACGCACUGGGACGACUGCCUCGCCUGCGGCCUUUGUACCAGUACAUCAACUUCGACAUGCCGGGGCUGAUGUGCCCAUCAGAAGAAGGAGGUGAAACCCUAGGGCCGGCAGGGACAGCAACUGGUCCAGAGCUGGAAGGAGAGCUCCAACAAGCAUUUGACUCCCAAGGUCAUCUGCCACUGACAAACUGGCUGAGCCAAGGAUUGAGAACUCAUCUUACUGACAGCCCUUUUGCAGCCUCUCUCAUGCAUAACCCACAAGAAGCCUCGGCCAGCAGCGCUCUGGAGAUCCCAGCCCCAGCACUGGAUGACCAACCCAUGCAGGUUGACAUUGAGAAGAUGCUCAGCUGCACGGCCUACCUGGUGUCACCACUCUUUCCUUAGGAUAAAUAGCCUCACAGCUGUCUGCCUCCUGUUUGACUACAGCCUGGCCUGCAGGGUGGUGAUCAGCACCUUGCCCAUACAAACAACAGUGUUGUUUUUUUUGGUUUGGUUUGCCCCCCCCUUUUUUUUUUUCUGGUUGCAGAGAACAUGAUAUACCUGUGGAGGGGCAGGGGAAACACCACCACAAUUUUUAUAAUAAAAUAUACCUGCUUGGUGUUAGGAUGCGUCCU
ensembl:lncRNA